rnacentral:tRNA from 1 species
CUGAAAUUAUUAAUAAAUUAAUAUUCUUUAAUCCCACAAAUAGCCCCAAUAAAUUGAUUAAGUUUAUA